rnacentral:rRNA from 1 species
GAUGAACGCUGGCGGCGUGCCUAACACAUGCAAGUCGAACGGGGUUACACGAGUAGCAAUACUUGUGCAACCUAGUGGCGGACGGGUGAGUAACGCGUGAGCAACCUACCUUCCAGAGGGGGAUAACACAGGGAAACCUGUGCUAAUACCGCAUAAAGUACAGUGGGGGCAUCCCUGCAGUACCAAAGGAGCAAUCCGCUGGGAGAUGGGCUCGCGUCCGAUUAGGUAGUUGGUGGGGUGACGGCUCACCAAGCCGACGAUCGGUAGCCGGACUGAGAGGUUGGCCGGCCACAUUGGGACUGAGACACGGCCCAGACUCCUACGGGAGGCAGCAGUAGGGAAUAUUGCGCAAUGGACGGAAGUCUGACGCAGCGACGCCGCGUGAGCGAUGAAGGUCUUCGGAUCGUAAAGCUCUGUCCUUGGGGAAGAAGGCGAAAGCUUGACGGUACCCAAGAAGAAAGCCCCGGCUAACUACGUGCCAGCAGCCGCGGUAAAG